rnacentral:lncRNA from 1 species
CAGGCCAAUUGAACUCAGGGAGCCUCUGCUUCUAUCUAUUUUUAGUGACACUGUUACUGUAUUUUAGAAUUGCAUCAUUUAAUUCUUUGUGUUGCUAAUAUUUGGAUAAUUUAGCCUUAAAUCUAUUGGAUUGAAAUUCACGAGCCGAUCCCAUUGUUCACUCGUUUACCCCACGUGACUAGACCUAGCAUUUGUACCUUUGUUUUGUUAUUUUAUUGGCAUUAGUAGUAUUAGCUUGCGAUCGGGCCAUACAUAAUCCCUACAAUAAAAUAAAAUAAUAAUAAUAACAAUGGAUAAAUUUCAAUCACUAUUUUCCCUGCUAGCACUCGUUGAUCUCAUUAGACACUUCACCUAGCUUGUGUUACCGUGCAUGCAAUUGCGUAGUGGACGCGUUACUGCCUCUAGCUCUACUACCGUUACCAUGGAUCCUUCCCACAUUGAAGUCAUCACCCGACAGUUGGCACAAUUACAAAAUCAAUUAACGGCUGUCCAAACUGAGUUAGCCGCUACGCGCGAGGAGAAUAGAGCCCUAACCGCUAGGGUAAACACUCUUGACCCAACCCAAUACUCAACUGAGGCUGAAAAUUCUGACGCUUCCAUUAAUAGACCUCAUCGUCGUUCACAAGGUGGUCGACACCAUGCUAGACAUGAUCGUAGGGAAGGAAAUCAAGCUCGUGGGCGUGAGCGGGAAUAUCACCGUCAUGGUACACUGUCCCCCCUCGCCACGAGGAGCGCCUCUUUCGAAAUAUUAAGUUAGAUGCCCCUACAUUUGAUGGUUGUCUAGAUCCUAGUGUAUUCAAUCAAUGGGUUAGGGAUAUGGAUCGCUUCUUUGCCUGGUAUGGGCUCCCUGAAGUUCGAAAGGUACAAUUUGCCAGUUUGAAAUUGACUGGCACAGCUCAACUGUUUUGGGAAAGCGUUGAGGACCUCCUAGAGAGGCGUCAUGCUCCCCCUGUUGGGAAUUGG